rnacentral:rRNA from 1 species
AACGAACGCUGGCGGCAGGCCUAACACAUGCAAGUCGAGCGAGCAUUUCGGUGCUAGCGGCGGACGGGUGAGUAACGCGUGGGAACGUGCCCUUUUCUGCGGAAUAGUCCUGGGAAACUGGGGGUAAUACCGCAUACGCCCUUUUGGGGAAAGAUUUAUCGGAGAAGGAUCGGCCCGCGUUGGAUUAGGUAGUUGGUGGGGUAAUGGCCCACCAAGCCGACGAUCCAUAGCUGGUUUGAGAGGAUGAUCAGCCGCACUGGGACUGAGACACGGCCCAGACUCCUACGGGAGGCAGCAGUGGGGAAUCUUAGACAAUGGGGGCAACCCUGAUCUAGCCAUGCCGCGUGAGUGAUGAAGGCCUUAGGGUUGUAAAGCUCUUUCAGCUGGGAAGAUAAUGACGGUACCAGCAGAAGAAGCCCCGGCUAACUCCGUG